UGGGGAAUUUUGGACAAUGGGGGCAACCCUGAUCCAGCCAUCCCGCGUGUGCGAUGAAGGCCUUCGGGUUGUAAAGCACUUUUGGCAGGGAAGAAACGGCGCUCUUUAAUACGGGGCGCAACUGACGGUACCUGCAGAAUAAGCACCGGCUAACUACGUGCCAGCAGCCGCGGUAAUACGUAGGGUGCAAGCGUUAAUCGGAAUUACUGGGCGUAAAGCGUGCGCAGGCGGUUCGGAAAGAAAGAUGUGAAAUCCCAGGGCUCAACCUUGGAACUGCAUUUUUAACUCCCGAGCUAGAGUAUGUCAGAGGGGGGUAGAAUUCCACGUGUAGCAGUGAAAUGCGUAGAGAUGUGGAGGAAUACCGAUGGCGAAGGCAGCCCCCUGGGAUAAUACUGACGCUCAUGCACGAAAGCGUGGGGAGCAAACA
rnacentral:rRNA from 1 species